rnacentral:rRNA from 1 species
GAUGAACGCUGGCGGCGUGCCUAAUACAUGCAAGUCGAGCGAACGGACGAGAAGCUUGCUUUUCUGAUGUUAGCGGCGGACGGGUGAGUAACACGUGGAUAACCUACCUAUAAGACUGGGAUAACUUCGGGAAACCGGAGCUAAUACCGGAUAAUAUUUUGAACCGCAUGGUUCAAAAGUGAAAGACGGUCUUGCUGUCACUUAUAGAUGGAUCCGCGCUGCAUUAGCUAGUUGGUAAGGUAACGGCUUACCAAGGCAACGAUGCAUAGCCGACCUGAGAGGGUGAUCGGCCACACUGGAACUGAGACACGGUCCAGACUCCUACGGGAGGCAGCAGUAGGGAAUCUUCCGCAAUGGGCGAAAGCCUGACGGAGCAACGCCGCGUGAGUGAUGAAGGUCUUCGGAUCGUAAAACUCUGUUAUUAGGGAAGAACAUAUGUGUAAGUAACUGUGCACAUCUUGACGGUACCUAAUCAGAAAGCCACGGCUAACUACGUGCCAGCAGCCGCGGUAAUACGUAGGUGGCAAGCGUUAUCCGGAAUUAUUGGGCGUAAAGCGCGCGUAGGCGGUUUUUUAAGUCUGAUGUGAAAGCCCACGGCUCAACCGUGGAGGGUCAUUGGAAACUGGAAAACUUGAGUGCAGAAGAGGAAAGUGGAAUUCCAUGUGUAGCGGUGAAAUGCGCAGAGAUAUGGAGGAACACCAGUGGCGAAGGCGACUUUCUGGUCUGUAACUGACGCUGAUGUGCGAAAGCGUGGGGAUCAAACAGGAUUAGAUACCCUGGUAGUCCACGCCGUAAACGAUGAGUGCUAAGUGUUAGGGGGUUUCCGCCCCUUAGUGCUGCAGCUAACGCAUUAAGCACUCCGCCUGGGGAGUACGACCGCAAGGUUGAAACUCAAAGGAAUUGACGGGGACCCGCACAAGCGGUGGAGCAUGUGGUUUAAUUCGAAGCAACGCGAAGAACCUUACCAAAUCUUGACAUCCUUUGACAACUCUAGAGAUAGAGCCUUCCCCUUCGGGGGACAAAGUGACAGGUGGUGCAUGGUUGUCGUCAGCUCGUGUCGUGAGAUGUUGGGUUAAGUCCCGCAACGAGCGCAACCCUUAAGCUUAGUUGCCAUCAUUAAGUUGGGCACUCUAAGUUGACUGCCGGUGACAAACCGGAGGAAGGUGGGGAUGACGUCAAAUCAUCAUGCCCCUUAUGAUUUGGGCUACACACGUGCUACAAUGGACAAUACAAAGGGCAGCGAAACCGCGAGGUCAAGCAAAUCCCAUAAAGUUGUUCUCAGUUCGGAUUGUAGUCUGCAACUCGACUACAUGGAGCUGGAAUCGCUAGUAAUCGUAGAUCAGCAUGCUACGGUGAAUACGUUCCCGGGUCU